CAGUACGUUAAUUCAACAUAUAUAUGGUAUAAUUAUCAAAUCAGGAUAAUUAUCAUUCUCUCUUCUCUGAUAUUUAACCCUAGACUCUUCUAGUCAUUUUAAAUUUUUUCAUCAAUUGGUUUUGUUGUUAUGGUAACUCCACUGUGCUAUAGAAAUAAUUCAUUCUAUUGGUAUCUUAGGAUCUAUUAUCUAACUUCUAUCUCCCCUUUACCACCUUCCAACACUAAAAUCUUAUAUUACUCCUUCAUUAAUGACAAGAACAGUGAAGUGUAUAAACUGACUUCCCCAGAGUCGUGAAACUAAUUGAUAAUACAAUGAAGAUGUCAAACCCAGGUCACUUCCAGCCCAUUGUCUUUUCUACUUGAAAAUGUUACUCAUCUAUUCUAAACACAAAUUAUUAAAAUGGUGGUUUUUAAGACAUGAGCUACAUAAAAAAUUACCAUCUAUAAUAUUGGCAUUGUAACUUUGGCUUGCUACAGCUUUCCUGUGUGAUCUAGAACAAGCACCUUCACCUUUAUGAGCCUCCAUUUCUUUUUCUUCAAAUUGAGAUGGCUAAAGCAAGUGACUUCCUACAGCCACCACCACCACCACCACCCCUCAAUUCCAGAAUUCCACUAUCAGUGAAUUAGCCAUUCAAAGGCACAUGAAUUUAUCAUUUCUUAGGCCUUCUGAAAAGAAUUUAUGUAAAUACAAGUAGAAAACAAACACUUUUUUAAAAUGCAGAUAGAUCAUGUAUCCCUUCCAUUAAGCAACAGUUCCUGCGUAGCAGGCAAACAUGCAUUCAAUACUUGAGUAUCUUCAUGUGAGCCAAUGAUUCUGGAAAUUGUCUGUACAUUGGAAAAACCCAGGGGGUUUCUAAUAAUACCUGUGCCUCAUCUCCAGAGAUUGCAAUCUAAUCAAUUUGAAUUGUGGCAUGGGUUUGGACCCCCUUUUUCAUUCCUCGGGCUCCUUUGAUAUACAGAAAAGUUUCAGAACAAUUUCUGUCUGCUCACAGUGGCUCAUGUUCUUGUCCUUAUAAGAUGUGGUUGGUGGCACAGCAGUACCUAGGAGAUAAUUAUAAAAACUGACUCCCAGGCCUCUGCCUGUUCUACAUCCAAAUCAACAGUUAAGAUCAUCAAGUGAUUCUACUUGAAGUAUAGUUUGGGAAGGGAUGAUUUAAGGUAACUCUAAUGGCCUUCAUCUUCCAUGGUGAAAGUCACAGGGACAGGAUGUGGAUAUAUAAAGGACAAGAGAUAACCAAUAGUAGAGAACUUGGCAUCUAAAAUUCAGGUGGGAGCAUGCUUAUUAGGGGUAGGCAGGGAGCAUAUUCUAGAAAUGAUAUGGAUAUCAGGGCCACCCAAACAUGGUGACUUAUUGUCACUUCAAAGUCAUAAAUCUUUAUGUCAGUUGAAAUCCCCAAUUUCUUGGGCCAAAUAUCCAACAUUUAUACUUAAAGGAUAAUCUAUGAUAAAAAAAUCAAUAAUUACCUUAAUACUGAAGAUAAGGUAUUCUUUUUUUUUAUUAACUUGAGUAUUUCUUAUUUACAUUUCGAAUGUUAUUCAAGAUAAGGUAUUCUAAUUUGAUUCUUUUAUUUUCAGACAAAAAAAUCUGAUUUCACACUGUGCUUAGGAUUUUAUUAAUAUCAGUAUUUGAAAUGAAAGUAGAAAAUUGGAACUGAGCAUGCAUUAGUUUAAAAAAUAAUUUCCCUCUCAGGUUGGCUGUGUUUUUAAAACAUCCCGAUAAGCAAUUCCACCUCUGAGAAAGUAAAUGGAGACACAUAAAGGUCUAAAAGCCAGGAUUUUUUGGUGCAGUGUUAUUUAUAAUAGUGAAAACUUGACAAUGAUCAGAAAAUUCACUCAUAAGGGAAUGGCUAAAUUAUGGUAUAAGUACACUGUGGAAAAUUAUACAGGCAUUAAAAUCAUUGUAGACCAAGACUGCUGAUGUGGAAAUACUAAGUUAAAAAGCAAGCUACAAAAAUAAGUGUAUUAUACUUAAUUUUGUGUUUAAGAAAGAGUUUGUCUGUGUUUAGAUUUUUUAAAGCCUGGAAGGGGCUAUGACAGAAUGUUUACAGAGAUCAUCUUUGAAUAACUGACUUAUGAAGUAUUCCUAUUUUCUUCUUUCACUUGUAUUUUUAAAAAUUUCAAUAACAAACAUGUAAUACUUUCAUCACUUGAAAACAUAAUAAAAGUUGUUGUUUUAAAAACCA
rnacentral:lncRNA from 1 species